UACGUAGGCAGCAAGCGUUGUUCGGAAUUACUGGGCGUAAAGAGUGUGUAGGCGGUGCUCCAAGUCUGGUGUGAAAUCUCCCGGCUCAACUGGGAGGGUGCGCUAGAAACUGGAAUGCUAGAGGAUGGGAGAGGUAAGCGGAAUUCCUGGUGUAGCGGUGAAAUGCGCAGAUAUCAGGAGGAACACCGGUGGCGAAGGCGGGUCUCUGGGCCGAUACUGACGCUGAGGAGCGAAAGCGUGGGGAGCGAACAGG
rnacentral:rRNA from 1 species